UACAGAGGGGGCAAGCGUUGUUCGGAAUUACUGGGCGUAAAGGGCGCGUAGGCGGCCUUCUAAGUCGAACGUGAAAUCCCCGGGCUCAACCCGGGAACUGCGUCCGAGACUGAAAGGCUUGAAUCCGGGAGAGGGAUGUGGAAUUCCAGGUGUAGCGGUGAAAUGCGUAGAUAUCUGGAGGAACAUCGGUGGCGAAGGCGGCAUCCUGGGACGUGACUGACGCUGAGACGCGAAAGCGUGGGGAGCAAACAGG
rnacentral:rRNA from 1 species